rnacentral:rRNA from 1 species
UACGAAGGGAGCUAGCGUUGUUCGGAAUCACUGGGCGUAAAGCGCACGUAGGCGGAUGUGUCAGUCAGGGGUGAAAUCCCGGAGCUCAACUUCGGAACUGCCCUUGAUACAGCACGUCUUGAGUCCGGAAGAGGUGGGUGGAGUUCCUAGUGUAGAGGUGAAAUUCGUAGAUAUUAGGAAGAACACCGGUGGCGAAGGCGGCCCACUGGUCCGGUACUGACGCUGAGGUGCGAAAGCGUGGGGAGCAAACAGG